GUUGUACUACCUCCGUCCGGAAAUACUUGUCCUAGAAAUGGAUAUAAUGGAUGUAUCUAUAANNAAAAUAAGUCUAGAUACAUUCAUCUCUAGGACAAGUAUUUCCUGACGGAGGGAGUACUAA
rfam:Hordeum vulgare subsp. vulgare, WGS project CAJW01000000 data, contig: morex_contig_173622